UGAAUUGAAUUUCUUUAUUGAGUCUUUUAGGUUACAGUUGCUGUCUUAGUCUAAAAAUAACAAUUCUUUACUACUUUACUUAAGUUAAACUGGCGGCUAUAAUGUAUUGCCUGCUCUUUCAGUUGCUUUGUAAUGAAAAUGAAUACAAUGUUUGCCUCAUGGCGGUCAGUAAAAUGUUUUUCUUUUUUUUCUACUCUUGCUCAUGACAGAGAGUUUUGUUUACGUUAACUGUGUGACGUUUUGUCACCCUCUUAUAAACUAGGAUACAUAUAUACAAUAAAAAAACUACAGAUACCUUACAAACUAACCCUACGAUAGAAUGCCUUGAACAUUUGUUAGGUUUGUGAGAUACGAAUAUACAUAGUAUGUACGGAAUACAAAUAUACAUUUUCUUUUUUUUUUUUUGUUAGAGCGAGAGCUCAGUCAGAUUCUUGUGAAUACAUUGUAUGUUAGUGAAUAUUAUUAACAUGGAGGAAAAAGGCAUUUAUCGGGGAACACAUUUAUACUUCGAUUGUUGUGUACGAGACGAGAUAAACAUAGAUACACAGAGGGUGUUACAAAAGAAAAAAAAAAAGAAACUUCAUUAAUGAAGAUAAUGAAUGACAGAUAACAUUGAUUAUUACAAUUAUUUGUUUUAUAAAAUAUUUUUACUUUUGAUUUGUUGUUCAUUUAAUUGUCUUUUACAUUGGUGAUUUUGUACUUAUUUAUUUUAUAAUAAUACCUGUUAUAUAUUGUUUGAUAAAUA